GCAGCCCUGACUGCUUUUAGAGCCGCAGUUAUGCUGUAGAGCUUUUAGCACAGGUACAGUCAUAAUUCUUAUGCGGGUACAAAGCAGAAUGUACUUCAGUAACCAUCAUAAAUAAAUAUUGGAAUAUGGGCUAACAACGUAAGUACUUUUACCAUGAUAUAGCCAGAUCCAUGCUAAGAAAGACAGGAAAUAUGAGUUUAUGCUGGCACUGUUAAAACAGGAACACCUUUUAGUUUCACAGGGACUAAUCUGUGAGUCACUGGUGAUGAAAAGGUUAUGCUUGAAGAACCUGGUUCAAUAACUAUUGUAUUUAGAUGGAGCCCUUCCUGAGCUUUGGAUCAACUUUUCAUUUCUAACUUAGUUAUUUGUAAGUUAGAAGAUAUUUCAAAUGCCUCUGGAUUUCUUUUGAUGUGUUGAAUGUGUUCCAAAGUGAAUAAUGGUUUGAAGGAACGGCUUGUGCUUGACAGAGUGGACUUUAGAAAGACAACUUACUUUUUACCACUGUAAAUCUUUGCUAUAGGAAAGUCAUAGUUAAAGCCAAACCUGAUUGUGACUGUAAGGAUGGGGAAUGCAAGGGAAGUAGGUAAGACCUUUUCUACUACAGUGAUUAAAAAACAGAGCAGUGCAGGCUGGGCUGUGAGUUAGUUUGGAAAGGUAACAUUUCAACUUGUGGAAUAAGCAAGAAGGGGCUAAAGCUUACUUACUGUGAGCUGCUUGCUUAAACGCAUCAAGCUACAGGGGAGGUCUGUUUAAAAUCACUUUGCUUAGCAAAAUAGCAACGAUUAGGGUUAGAAACAGUUUGCCUGUUAACAUCUAAUUUCCUGGCUGUGACUUCAUGGCAAUAGCUGUAUCGUAUGAAAGACCUAAACCCAAACAUCGGUCAAAAAAUCUAGAAAAUAGCCAGAAGUAUGUUGGUAUGUGAUCCCUGGCUGGUUUCUUUGAACUAUCUGAACUUUCCCAACUUCCCUUUUCAGGAUCAGCUGUGAAAUGUAGCCCUCUGGAUAUGCCUGGCUGUGAAAUUACCUUUUCUAAGAGCUGGCAAGUCCUGUAACUGUGCAGACUCUUCUGUAGUUGACCCAGCUUUAUUCCUCCGCUGGCCUCAGUAGUCUCCUCCUUGCUGCUUCAGAAAAGAUUAGUCCUGCUUGAUGAAGUCCCCUACCAAGGAAACCAAGUGUUCAGCUGGUCCUCCUGGCAAGGUAAGAACUUGGAGCACAGUGGUGGGAUGCUGCUCAGCGGUGUAUAUGUCUCAGAUGCCAUUGUUUGUGGAGGGCUUGUGCAGGCAGGCAGCUGUGUAACAGCAUUGGAGCAGUUUUCUUGCCUGCCCCACAUUUGUCCCUAGUUGCCAGGUUUCAGGUGAAGCAGGCAGUGCCUGUGUCCAUCCCCACUCAGUCUUCCCUUGUGUCUUUUCUUUUCCCUGUCUUUAUAAAUUAAGUACCUGGAGGACUAAUCUGGGUGGGUUUAUCUACUCUGUCCUGCAAUUUGGUGGCAAACAAGACAGUUACAUGUCUACCUGUCAAUGAAAGGGGCAGGAACAGUGGGGUACAAAUGCCAACAAUAAGCCAUGUGCACAUUUCCUAAAGUGUGGUUGUUGGGGGUCUGUCUGAUGAGGAGACUGGUGUGAGAGAUCAGGAGGCUACAUAAUGGAUGAGGCGAUGUUUAGAAAACAUUUAAAUAACGGAGCGGGUGUGUGGGGAGACCAUCUAUUUUCUUUCACUUCCUAAUGCUCUGGGAGCAGCGCUUGCCAGCAGCCCCUGAAGCCUUCUCAGCCCUGUAACACACUUUGGUUGCCUCAGAGCAGAACAGUAAGAAGGUAAGCAGGGAGCUGCAUUUCAGCUUUGUCAGGCUAGUGGCUGAUGUGGGAAGCACCAUAAGGAGCGAUACAGAAUUCUUUAAGGACAUUACUUAAAUCCAAGAUGCCAUUUCAAACUCCCCAAUUCCUGAAGUAACGCUAGGUUGUACAGAAAGCAUGUUUUUCUCCCUCCAGACUGGAACCUCCAAAAGUACCACUGUACAGCUGGGUCCAGUUUCAAGGUUACAAAUGUAUACUCAACAGACCCACUGCCAUCCCACUUUCCUGCACCCUGGGGUGAAAGAGCAGCCCAGUGCAGAGACGAUGCAGCUUGCAGCAUGCAAAACGCAACUUGGAAAACUUCUGCUUUAGAACGCUCUACAAUGUAAUCAGAUCAAACACUAUCAUUUUUCCUUCCAUACAGAGCUUUGCUAUGACUGAAGCAGAAGAACAGUAUUAACUGCUAGCAUGCUCAUUAUCAUGCUUAACUAAAAGCAGAUUCUUUCCAUUGCACCCUAUAGAUAGUCGUAAUUGCACAGUACAAUUUGAUAUUUUAACAGUCUCCCACCCCAACUGCACAGUCUUUGGUACAGCUGGUGUACACGUAAACUUCUAUCUAAGACUGGCUAUUGAACUAAGUGGAAA